rnacentral:rRNA from 1 species
UACGUAGGUGGCAAGCGUUGUCCGGAUUUAUUGGGCGUAAAGGGAGCGCAGGCGGUGAUUUAAGUCUGAUGUGAAAGCCCACGGCUCAACCGUGGAAUGGCAUUGGAAACUGGGUCACUUGAGUGCAGAAGAGGAAAGUGGAAUUCCAUGUGUAGCGGUGAAAUGCGCAGAGAUAUGGAGGAACACCAGUGGCGAAGGCGACUUUCUGGUCUGCAACUGACGCUGAUGUGCGAAAGCGUGGGGAUCAAACAGG